GCCGAGGCUGAUAAUGAAAAGCAGCUACUAACGAAAAGGUUCCAAAUCAAUUUACAGAUUUGGGCACAUUUAGGAGAGGGCAGUGAAAAGGCAAAUGAGACGAUUACUGUGGCUGUCUGAGCAGAUGAGAAUGGGAGGGCCACCGUAGUCUAAAGACCAAGUGGAGCAAUAUCAGACUCACUGAUAUCACAGCCAAACACAUAGGAGCCAUCUUGAUUCACCUUGAAAGGAGGAGCUGGAAAACGUUGCUGGGGAGAGGGAAGUCUGGACUACCUGCUUAACUUGCUGCCACCACGACCCAGCCCCAGAUAAGUGGCAGAAAAUGGAUGGAUGGAUGUCCUGGAUUCACCUAAUAUUUUACAAUACAAUGGAUAAAGACACAGCAAUAUCAUCAGACUACAAGCGAUAAGUGUCCUGACUGAUACCACAUUGGCUGGUUUGCAAUCUACAUGAUCAGUGUUUGUUAAUAUGUUGAUGUAGAUGUAGAAACACGACAUAGAUUUGAAUUUGUUCAUCAGUAAGUUAAAUGUGCACACCUUUUUGACAGUGUGACAAGAAACCUUGAAGAGUCCAGAGAAUCAUACAACCUCAAUCUGUACAGCAGUUUAAAGACUGAAAUGUCUUGAAAUGCUGGUUAUUCAAACCCAUAAGGAAGUGCCAAGACAUUUGAUUCCCUCUUUAAUGUCACUUUGCCUGUCACACCAAAACACUGAAGUAGAAUUCUUGGAAAUAGUAUCAUAUGAGAAUAUUGAAAAUUGCACAGCUUUAAAAACAAUGACUAUGAGAAGAAGUUGAAUGAAGUAAGGGUUGGUUCCUAUAUUACAAAUACUUGGUGCUAAGUGGAACAUAAUAAAAUGUGUUUAAUCAUAACUGCUGUAACAUUUUGCUAGUAGAUCAUUGCUAAUUCAUUAGUAUUACAAUAUGUGUCAACCUAAAAAGUUAUCAUUGUUUUUGCUAAUGAUUUAUAAAUCAGAAUUAUAACUAAGCAAAUGUUACUGAAUUAUUCAUGAAUGUUAAAUUGUUGCACUGGACUGCACUCUUGUUUUACUAAUGUAUGAUACAUUAUUUGUUAGUACAUUUGCUAAACAUCUGUUAAACAGUUUUACAGGCUUUUGCAGCUUUUAAUCACAGUACUGAAAC